UCGCUGAGACGCAUGCUCAGACUGCUACCCAGCGUGAGAAGCAACUCCCCAUGAACCUUAUCCAUAUGAUCCUCUCCACUCAUUCUUCUGCCCCUCCUUCUCUCCCCCCACCCCGCCCCCCCCAGCACCUCGUGUCGUGCUACUCCUCCCCGCCCUAGAUCCAUGCCACCGAGGGGCUCACGCCGUGCUGCUUCCCCCUUCCCCCCGCUAUGGAAUGUGUUGACGCGCGAGGCACCCGCUGCCGCUCAGGCAGGGCUCCUACGCCACGAGGGGCAGCGGUGUGAGGCCCGACGAGGGGCAUCCGGUGGGGCGGCGACAUGAGGUCAAGCAAGGACAACUACGUGGUGCCAUGGCGGUGGGGGGUCCGGUGAGGAGCAACCCCUGCUCGACGACGACAAGCAUGACAAUCUCGUCCGUAGUGUCCACUUCCACGCCAUCCAGCUGCUCUUCAUAUCCGGAGUUAGAAACUAACUUCCUCUCCCAACCCCCCAACACUCACCCCCGAUGGGAUCCGAGCUCGUUGUCGUUAGGAUCGAGCUUGGGGUCGGGCUUCUUCGCGCGGGAUCGAGCUCCUCAUCAUCGGGGUUGGGCUCCUCCGUGCCUUAUCGAGCUCCUCGGCGUGGGGUUGAGCUCUUCAUCGUCGUGGCCAUGUAGCUCCCUGUGUGGUUGAGGCAGGGAUGACUUGGGAGAGCAGGGUGGUGGCAGUUUGGGCUCCAUGGCACCGAACUGAGUUUAGAUAAUGGCAAGGUCGAAUAAGAAAAAAGAUGUUGCAUCAACAUCACGUAGCAAUUGUCCUGGCAGGCGGAAGAAUAGGGUAUCUACAACUUUUUCUUAAUAAACUAUUUUCUUCCUACCAGAUAGAUAUGUACUACAUUCGGUUUUAUCUAUGCAACCACUGGUCAUGUUAAAACCAUUAAGGUGUAAUUGUUUGAAAAAUUGUUAUGCAGUUUUAUUUGUCCUUUUAUGCAGUUUAGCACUCACAUAUUGAUGUGUGCACACUAAUUAAUUAUGCAGUUCCAAGGUUAACUGUUGAGGUGAUUUUCAGUGUUCAAUUUUUUUUAAUAUGUUAUCUGUCAGGUAAAUCUAAGUAAUUCACAUAGGCUAAUUAACUGUUUCAAAGAAGCAAACUUUUGUAAACUGAUAUGCACAAACUUUUAGUGUUUGAAAUUCACAUAGGCUACUGAUAUGCUAUCUGUCAGAGCAAACCUAGUGAUCCAAUCAGGCAACUUAACUAUUUAAGAGAAGCAAAAUUUUGUAGACUUGUAAGCACAAAAUUCGUGAAAAAAAAUGUGUACAAGAAUGUAAACUUAUGCUUCUCGAACACGGUGUUCAAGGUGCAUUUUUUUGAAAAUAUGGUAAAACAACUUUUAUGAAAUCUAGAAGCAUUUUUUCAAAAUAACUAUGCAGUUUUAUUUAUUCAUUAUGCAGUUCAGUGACCAUAUGAUGAUGCAUGCACACUGAUUAUGCAGUUUUAUUUUCUUUAGCAAACCAUUUAGUUUAAUUUAUUAUUACUCUUCCUUAUUUUAAUUUAGGGUGCUAGAAAUAGAGCAUCACCAGCCAGGUUGGUUAUAUUGUACAAAAUAGUGCCACCUGAGCAGUGAAAGAUAAUAGAAAAUAUUGGGUUGGGAGGGUUGCUGAUAACAGGAACAAGUGUAUUGCCAGCUGACCUCACCAAAUACUCACAUAUUUGCCUUUUUAAUUUUUUUUGCUAAUCAUUCAAUACUAUAACAUUGUGCAUUUCUAUGAAAUGAUAUGCUACAAAAUUCUUGAAUCAUGUAUGCUUCUUAAUUUUUUUUUUAGGACAAUACUUGUGUUUCAUGCGAAGCAACAACCAGUAAAGUAAUUCUACUGUUGAGUCCUUUAUAUGCUCACUGUCAGGCAAAUCUAGUUCGUUGUCAAGUAAAUCUAAUUAUUCAAUCAAGCUACUUAUCUAUCUGGAGAAGCAAAAAUUUAUAAACCAAGUAUAAACUUGCUAAAUGUGUAACCGAAUGUAAUUGAAUAAGUAAGUACAACGCAAACAUAAUUUCUUAUACCCUUUGUUCGUUUUGCACUCCAGGCACUCAAAUGGUCAAUUUGAUGCUUAAUGUGCAUACAUUCUAGGAGAAAUAAAUGUCUGCUCAUGUGAGAUGAUGUAUUGUGCAAAAUUAUGUCAACUAUAUUGAUGGUCGUCAUAAUGUGUGCUCAUCUAUGUGUGACCUGUGCAUCGAUAAAUCUUAUGUGUGUUUGGGUGUUUUUUUUUUACUUCUAGUUCUCUGUGUUGUAAAGGUAUGUGAUCUUGUGCUCAUGUGAUAGUAAAACUGUGCUACAACCAUUUUGAAUUUGGUGACGUACUCAUGUGUUGUGUUUCAAGGUUCCCAUAUUCGUAUGUAAUGCAUAGCACCACAGAUAAAAACUUGCAACAUUUUUCUAUUUUCAGAAUAGUAGAGAUGAUAUGUUCAUAUGUUCAGAUAUAUAGGCAAAUUUAUGUUAAGAUCUACCCUUUUUUUGUGCAAAUUCAUAUGUGUUCAGAUCUGUAGUUUCUCAACAUCAUGUGCUAGCCUUUUGUUUUGGCAAAAAAUAGAUCACAAAAAAUACUUUACGGAUGAGUGUUUGUAGAGAUGAAUAUCAAUAGGGAGACGGUGUGGAGGAGGCGAGGCGUGAUGGAAGGUUCAGGCACGACAUUGUCAGCGCGAAGGGUGCGCUCUCACGCACGGAGGUGCCUAAUUAGGUAAUUAAUCAAAUUAGGGAGACACUUAAUCAAGUUCUUUCCUGAUUAGAAGUGCGUGGCGAAUUGAUCUUAGGGUGCAUGUGCAAUGAUUUGCUCCUCGCAAUAGGGCCUGAUGCCAUGCGCUCAUUCUUGAAUGACAAACAUUGUAAUAAGGGUCCUUGAUUACUUAUCUUCUUGAUACAAAGAUAUGUAGUUUUUGCGUAUUUGAGAAAAAGAUCUAUAAAUACCCACCACCGCCUUUUCUUA